GCUACUUUGGCCGAGUUGGUCUAAGGCGCCAGAUUAAGGCUCUGGUCUUCUCCGGAAGGCGCAGGUUCAAAUCCUGCAGGUGGCA
rfam:Plasmodiophora brassicae isolate e3 genome assembly, contig: scaffold_1